UACGUAGGUGGCAAGCGUUGUCCGGAUUUAUUGGGUUUAAAGCGCGCGUAGGCGGCCCUGUAAGUCCGUUGUGAAAGUCAAAGGCUCAACCUUUGAAAGCCGAUGGAUACUGCAGGGCUAGAGUCCGGAAGAGGCGAGUGGAAUUCCUGGUGUAGCGGUGAAAUGCGCAGAUAUCAGGAGGAACACCUAUUGCGAAGGCAGCUCGCUGGGACGUUACUGACGCUGAGACGCGAAAGCGUGGGGAGCAAACAGG
rnacentral:rRNA from 1 species